AGCAGUCGCCGCGGGAAUACGAAGGGUGCAAGCGUUAAUCGGAGUUACUGGGCGUAAAGCGUGCGUAGGCGGUUUGUUAAGUCUGUUGUGAAAUCCCCGGGCUCAACCUGGGAAUGGCAAUGGAUACUGGCAAGCUAGAGUGUGUCAGAGGAUGGUGGAAUUCCCGGCGUAGCGGUGAAAUGCGUAGAGAUCGGGAGGAACAUCAGUGGCGAAGGCGGCUUACUGGCUCAUACUGGACGCUGAGGUGCGAAAGCGUGGGGAGCAAACAGGAUUAGAUACCCCCGUAGUCCCUGUCUCUUAUAC
rnacentral:rRNA from 1 species